CCUACGGGAGGCAGCAGUGGGGAAUUUUGGACAAUGGGCGAAAGCCUGAUCCAGCAAUGCCGCGUGAGUGAAGAAGGCCUUCGGGUUGUAAAGCUCUUUUGUCAGGGAAGAAACGGUGAAGGCUAAUAUCCUUUGCUAAUGACGGUACCUGAAGAAUAAGCACCGGCUAACUACGUGCCAGCAGCCGCGGUAAUACGUAGGGUGCAAGCGUUAAUCGGAAUUACUGGGCGUAAAGCGUGCGCAGGCGGUUUUGUAAGUCUGAUGUGAAAUCCCCGGGCUCAACCUGGGAAUUGCAUUGGAGACUGCAAGGCUAGAAUCUGGCAGAGGGGGGUUAGAAUUCCACGUGUAGCAGUGAAAUGCGUAGAUAUGUGGAGGAACGCCGAUGGCGAAGGCAGCCCCCUGGGUCAAGAUUGACGCUCAUGCACGAAAGCGUGGGGAGCAAACAGGAUUAGAUACCCUGGUAGUCCACGCCCUAAACGAUGUCUAGUNUGUUGGUCGGUAUUAGUCGUGUACGUACGNGACGACGACGNGAGAG
rnacentral:rRNA from 1 species